AGAGUUUGAUCCUGGCUCAGAUUGAACGCUGGCGGCAUGCCUUACACAUGCAAGUCGAACGGCAGAGAGGAGCUUGCUUNUCUUGAGAGCGNGGACGGGUGAGUAAUGCCUAGGAAUCUGCCUGGNGGNGGGGGAUAACGUUCGGAAACGGACGCUAAUACCGCAUACGUCCUACGGNAGAAAGCGGGGGACCUUCNGGCCUCCCGCCAUCAGAUGANCCUAGAUCGGAUUAGCUAGUUGGGGAGGGAACGGCUCACCAAGGCGACNAUCCNUAACUNGUNUGANAGGAUGAUCACUCACACUGGAACUGAGACACGGUCCAUACUCCUACGGGAGGCAGCAGUGGGAAAUAUUGGACAAUGGGCGCAAGCCUGAUCACCAUGCCGGGUGUGUNAAAGAAGGCUUCGGAUUGUAAAGCACUUUAAGGUGGGAGGAAGGGCAGNAAACCAAUCCUUGCUNNUUUGACNUUACCGCAAAAUAAGCCCGCUUACUNUNUGCCA
rnacentral:rRNA from 1 species